AAAACUAGCCAGUCUUUUGGGUAUGAAACCCAUUUGGGCGAGAGUAGUACAAGGAUGGGUGACCUCCUGGGAAGUCCUCGUGAAAGGGUUUC
rnacentral:rRNA from 1 species